rnacentral:rRNA from 1 species
UACGGAGGAUGCAAGCGUUAUCCGGAAUGAUUGGGCGUAAAGCGUCCGCAGGUGGCAAUGUAAGUCUGCUGUUAAAGAGUCUAGCUCAACUAGAUAAAAGCAGUGGAAACUACAUAGCUAGAGUACGUUCGGGGCAGAGGGAAUUCCUGGUGUAGCGGUGAAAUGCGUAGAGAUCAGGAAGAACACCAGUGGCGAAGGCGCUCUGCUAGGCCGUAACUGACACUGAGGGACGAAGGCUAGGGGAGCGAAUGGG